rnacentral:rRNA from 1 species
UACGUAGGGUGCGAGCGUUGUCCGGAUUCACUGGGUGUAAAGGGUGCGCAGGCGUGCUCUUAAGUCAACGGUGAAAGCUCUCGGCUUAACCGAGAAAUUGCCUUUGAUACUGAGAGUCUUGAGUACGGGAGAGGGAGAUGGAAUUCCAGGUGUAGCGGUGAAAUGCGUAGAUAUCUGGAGGAACACCAGAGGCGAAGGCGGUCUCCUGGCCCGUUACUGACGCUGAGGCACGAAAGCGUGGGGAGCAAACAGG